rnacentral:lncRNA from 1 species
AAUAGACGACUAUAUAGACCCAAUACUGAAGUAAACAUUUCAUUUUACAGUCGACAAUCAAAUGUUGUAGCCGUAAACUGUAGCAAAACACUGAUAACAGUUUUAAACAGAGUUUUUACUAAUAUUUCACGACUACAUAGCGAAUAAAUGCAAUUUAUAUUUUAUUGACAACCGCCAUGUGUUCGAGAAACAAAAAUUUACAUACAUACAAAUUUGCAUGCACAAAUUAUUCCCUGACCCCAGCGUAAAUGCAAAUUUAAUAUAAGUCGAUUAAAAAUUCUUACCUAACAGGAAUAUUAGGCCCAG